CCUGUCCCGCGCUCGAACUGCUUCCGGCAGGAGCCGGAAGACGCUCUGUGUGGACAGAAUUCGGGACCGACUGACGGACGGACUGCUGCCCGGGACUGAAAGGCGACAUUGAUUACCCACCCAGCUCAGCAUCUUACAGGAAAAUCAUAGCCCUUCCUAGAGGAAUAUGAGCACAACAGGAAGGUGUCACUGACUCUGUAUUAAAAUUUUAACCUGUCCCCUCAACAGCUACAGAAUUUGGAAGCUGAAUCAAUGUUAUCAGAUGAGUUAGAAUCCAAACCAGAGCUCCUGGUACAGUUUGUUCAGAAUACGUCCAUCCCCCUGGGACAGGGGUUAGUAGAAUCAGAAGCUAAAGACAUAACUUGCUUGUCCCUACUUCCAGUGACUGAAGCCUCAGAAUGCAGUCGGCUAAUGUUACCAGAUGAUACUCCAAAUCAUAUGAACUCCUCCAAGGAGGUUCCUUCCUCAGCUGUGUUGAGAAGCCUUCAGGUGAAUGUGGGUCCAGACGGAGAAGAGACGAGGGCUCAGACUGUACAGAAGUCUCCAGAGUUUUUGUCCACUCCAGAGUCCCCUAGCUUGUUGCAAGAUCUACAGCCAAGUGAUAGCACUUCUUUUAUUCUUCUUAACCUAACAAGAGCAGGUCUGGGCUCUUCAGCCGAACACUUGGUAUUUGUACAAGAUGAGGCAGAGGAUUCAGGGAAUGAUUUCCUCUCCAGUGAGAGCACAGACAGUAGCAUUCCCUGGUUCCUCCGGGUUCAGGAGUUGGCCCAUGACAGUUUGAUUGCUGCUACUCGGGCUCAGCUGGCAAAGAAUGCAAAGACCAGCAGCAGUGGAGAAAAUGUCCACCUUAGUUCUGGUGAUGGGCAACCCAAAGAUUCUGGGCCCCUUCCUCAAAUGGAGAAGAAGCUCAAGUGUACAGUUGAAGGCUGUGACCGGACAUUUGUGUGGCCAGCUCAUUUUAAGUACCACCUCAAAACUCAUCGAAACGACCGCUCCUUUAUCUGCCCUGCAGCAGGUUGUGGGAAAAGCUUCUAUGUUCUACAGAGGCUGAAGGUGCACAUGAGGACCCACAAUGGGGAGAAGCCCUUUGUGUGCCCUGAGUCCAACUGUGGUAAGCAGUUCACAACAGCUGGAAACCUGAAGAACCACCUGCGCAUCCAUACAGGAGAGAAGCCUUUCCUUUGUGAAGCCCAAGGAUGUGGCCGUUCCUUUGCUGAGUAUUCUAGUCUUCGAAAACAUUUGGUGGUUCACUCAGGAGAGAAGCCACAUCAGUGUCAAGUCUGUGGAAAGACCUUCUCUCAGAGUGGGAGUAGGAAUGUGCACAUGAGAAAGCAUCACUUGCAGAUGGGAGCAGCUGGGAGUCAAGAGCAGGAACCAGCUGUUAUGGAAGAACUUAACUUUUAAAACAUUUAAACAGGACAUAACCAGGUUUUACAGAGGAGAAUUAAAGCAAUUUCUCCAUACCUUCAAAAGCCAUAUCUUCUGGAGAAAAGAAAGGGCUCUGUAGGAAACAGUUGCUCCUCUCUGGUAUAGAAAGUUCACCCAAGUUACACAGGCCAGGCCCUCUUCUCUGAAAAACUUAACAGGUGAGGUCAGCAUGCAUUUAUUCAGUGCCUACUUGUGUACCUGGCACCAUGGGAAAGAUAAAAGUAGAAGACAGGGGCCUUAAAAUCUAGUUGAGAAGUCAAAACUUAUAUUUGGGAAACAACACUGAGUGAGUAGAAGGUAGUGUUUUAAGCAAACAUUAAGUUAUGUGGUAUCCUGGAAGAGCAAUGUAAACUAGAAAGCCCCUUUUAAUUUAUUUGAGAGCUAAGUGGUUUAUGUGUAAGCUGUUUCCGGAAGAUCUUCAUGGUGAUUCUGCUGAUAAACAUUUAAUAAGUCAGAUCCUGUGUUUUCCUUACUCAAGCCCCAGUCAGUUUUGGUUAUAAAGACCAUGUUUGUGUAACUUACAUAUGGAGCGUACAAGGCCCCAAGUGUGCUUCCACAAUAAGCCUCUUCUGUCCCAUAAAUGAUACUAGUGGAUAACUGAAGCAUGAGGCAUAGAAAUGGCAUGGAGCUCCUUAGCCAGCCGUAAGGAAGAAGAUCUAAAAGGAGGAAGAGACAAUGAGUAGGAACCUUGGAGCCAGGUUUAAGCGCUUGACCAGCACUUACUGUGCUGUUGCCAUUACUGGUGACUGCUUUGCAGGUUGGCUCUGGUUUCCUGAUUCAUAUGCAGAUUAAUCCAGUUAAUAGUGCUGAAGCCAUAUUACUCAAAAUUUGCAUAUUGAGAAAUGGUCAACUGUUACAUCAAGAUUUUUUACCUUUUCUUCCCAUCCCCCUUUUGUAAUACUUUCCAAAUUCACUGAUAAUGAUUAUCAGGCAGGAAUUAAUUUGGAAGAAACACAGGAAUGUGGGAUUCAGUUUUUUGGGGAGCAGUUUUGAGAGUUUUUAAUGAGAGACUUGAUAAUGAAGGUAGGGUAAUCUUUGGAUUCAUUUUGCACUGAAACCUUUUUCUGCUGUUUCAGAGGUGCUUGCUGAAGGAUCCCCACGUCCUCUGUCUUCAGUGCCUGAUGUGACACAUCACCUGGUGACCAUGCAGUCAGGGAGGCAGUCGUAUGAGGUUUCUGUCUUAACUGCUGUAAAUCCGCAGGAGUUACUAAACCAAGGAGAUUUAACUGAAAGACGGACAUGAGCCAUGGGUGCUGACUCCUGGAAGAGUAGCUCUGUCUGAUCCCAGAGUGCAUUCAGUGGGAACAGGAUGCUUAUGGCUC